rnacentral:lncRNA from 1 species
UUCUGCUGGUUCACUCCCCAAAUGGCCGCAAUGGCUAGAGCUUGGCUGAUCUGAAACCAGGAGCCAGGAGUUUGUUCCAGGUCUCCCAUGCGGGUGCAGGGGCCCAAGCACUUGGGCCAUCUUCCACUGCUUUUCCAGGCCACAGCAGAGAGCUGGAUCAGAAGUGGAGCAGCCGGGACUCGAACCGGCGCCCGUAUGGGCUGCGGCUUUAACCUGCUGCAUCACAGCGCUGGCCCCUCCAGAAAUGCUCUUCUAACCCCUCCACUUCCGUCUUCCCACCCAUGUGUGGGUCGGACACGCCUUCUCCCUUGCCUGGUCUCUGUGCUCCACGCAGAAGCCACAGUGACGCUAACAGAGCCCCCCGCUGCGGCCCUGCCAAGUCCCCAGGCCCUGUGCACCCGCCCCCAGCUUCAGGCUGUGUCGUGCUCCCCUGCACUGGACUCUGCUGCCUCCGGGCCUUUGCACGCCCUGUGCCCUGCUCUCGGAGCGCCCUUCGCUCUCUCCCGCCCCUCAAACGUGGCUGCUGGGGACCCCCCCCCGCAUCUUGGCACAGCGUGUCAUUACUGCUGCUCAGGUCUGAGUGUCAGACCCGCCAGGACUGGACGCGGCCUGCCCGGCUCCCCGCCGCCCGGGGCUCAGGAGUUGUUAAGGGAACUGGGAGUGCGGGGGGUGGCUGGGACUCCGGGGUCCCCGGGCAAACGCUGAGCUGGAGGCUUAGCACACCUGGCUCCCUUCUCUUGGUCUCUACAGGCCCGACCCUGGGCCCCGGGGCCAUUGCUGGCGUCGUCCUGGGCACCCUGCUGGGCCUGGCCCUGCUGGCCGGGCUCCUCGUCCUGUGCGUCUGCUGCCUGCGCCGCUUCCGGGACAAGACGCCUCCGAAGCGGCCUCCCGCCCUGGCCCCCGUGGCCUCCCCGCCCGAGAAGACGCUCCCGAGUGUGGCCCCUGCGCAGCCCCCGCGGCCUCUGGGCUGCAGAGCCCCGCCCGCGGCCCCUGUCCCAGCCAUAGACCUUCCAGGCCCCGGGCCCCGGGCCAGUGCUCUCGCCCCGCGGAGGCCCGAGGACGGUGCGGACGGUGCGGACGGCCACGCAGGUGGACCCAGACCUCCCAGGGUGCCGGUCAGAGCCUCCCCAGCCCCCGCCGAGCCUCCCCUGGACUGGGAGCCUUCUAGAACGUUCUCUGCCCUGCGUUGGCUUCUCAAGCCCAGCAUUGCCAUCACAGAAGACCCUGCCUCCCCCGUGGGCGUGUCAGGCCCCAGCGUGCCUGGCCCCCGCCUCCCGAGAGCUCCCGAGAGCACCCGACGGCUUGUGUCCCCAGCCUGA